CCUACGGGUGGCAGCAGUGAGGAAUAUUGGUCAAUGGGAGAGAUCCUGAACCAGCCAAGCCGCGUGAGGGAAGACGGCCCUAUGGGUUGUAAACCUCUUUUGUCGGAGAACAAAACCCGGACCUGUCCCGGACUGCGUGUUUCCGAAGAAAAAGCAACCGCGAACUUCGUGCCCGCAGCCGCGGUUAUACGGAGGAUGCGAGCGUUAUUCGGUUUUUUUGGGUUUAAAGGGUGCGUAGGCGGUCCGUUAAGUCCGCGGUAAAAUUGCGGGGCCCAACCCCGUCGAGCCGUUGAAACGGGCAGACUUGAGUUGGCGGGAAGUACGCGGAAUGCGCGGUGUAGCGGUGAAAUGCAUAGAUAUCGCGCAGAACUCCGAUUGCGAAGGCAGCGUACCGGCGCCAGACUGACGCUGAGGCACGAAAGCGUGGGGAUCGAACAGGAUUAGAUACCCUGGUAGUC
rnacentral:rRNA from 1 species